CCUACGGGAGGCAGCAGUGAGGAAUAUUGGUCAAUGGGCGGGAGCCUGAACCAGCCAAGCCGCGUGAAGGACGACGGUCCUAAGCAUUGUAAACUUCUUUUGUCAGGGAACAAAAUCAGGCUCGGGAGCCCGGAUGAGUGUACUUGAAGAAAAAGCAUCGGCUAACUCCGUGCCAGCAGCCGCGGUAAUACGGAGGAUGCGAGCGUUAUCCGGAUUUAUUGGGUUUAAAGGGUGCGUAGGCGGACUGUUAAGUCAGCGGUAAAAAGGCGGGGCUCAACCCCGUCGAGCCGUUGAAACUGGCAGUCUUGAGAGGGCGAGAGGUAUGCGGAAUGCGCGGUGUAGCGGUGAAAUGCAUAGAUAU
rnacentral:rRNA from 1 species